AGCUCCAAUAGCGUAUAUUAAAGUUGUUGCGGUUAAAAAGCUCGUAGUUGGAUUUCUGUGUCAGACAACCGGUCUACCUUUUGGGUAAGUAUUGGUAUGGCUGAUGCAUCCUUUCGUGGAACGUAUUCUUGCUUGAUUGCUUGAUGCGGGCAGCGAAACUUUUACUUUGAGGAAAUUAGAGUGUUCACGGCAGGCAUGCGCCUUGAAUAUAUUAGCAUGGAAUAAUAAUAUAGGAUCUUCGCUCCUAUUUUGUUGGUUUCUAGGGUGAAGAUAAUGAUUAAUAGGGACAGUUUGGGGGCAUUUGUACUAAAGCGUCAGAGGUGGAAUUCUUAGAUUGCUUUAUGACAAACUACUGCGAAAGCAUUUGCCAAGGAUGUUUUCA
rnacentral:rRNA from 1 species